rnacentral:rRNA from 1 species
AGUGAACGCUGGCGGUAGACCUAACACAUGCAAGUCGAACGGGGGCACAGGAAGAGCUUGUUCUUACUGGGGGGGAGUGGGGGAGGGGAGAGGAAUAUAACCGGAUUUACAUUUUCGGGGGGGAUUAGGAAGGGAAAGCUAAGACAAUAUCGAAUACUGCAUUGGGGUGAAAGCAGGGGAAAUUUGGAAUUUGCGCGCUUCAAUGAGGCGAUGGCGGAUUAGCGAGUUGGGGGGGUAAAGGCCCACCAAGCCGACGAACCGUAGCUGGUCUGAGAGGGUGAUCGGCCACACUGGAACUGAGACACGGUCCAGACUCCUACGGGAGGCAGCAGUGGGGAAUAUUGGACAAUGGGCGAAAGCCUGAUCCAGCCAUACCGCGUGGGUGAAGAAGGCCUUCGGGUUUUAAAGCCCUUUUGUUGGGAAAGAAAAGCAGCAGGUUAAUACCCCGCUGUUCUGACGGUACCCAAAGAAUAAGCACCGGCUAACUUCGUG